rnacentral:antisense_RNA from 1 species
UGAGUUGUGGCUCAGACACUACAACAGAGCUCCGUCAUCUCUUUCUAAAAGCUGGGAAAUGGUUAUUGUCAACGCCAGCCCCAUUUUGGAGGCACCUGGCUGCAGGGGACCACAGCUAGCUGGGUGCGGUGGCUCAGGACUGUAAUUCCAGCUCCAUGAGAGGAUUGCUUGAGGCCAGGAGUUUGAGACCAGCCUGAACAACAUAAUAGACUGGGAGCUCCAUGAGGUCCGAGACAACCAGAAGACUCCCAGCUCAGCAGAGACUGGCUAUGGCAAUCAGUAACUAUUUGUUGAAUAGGACAUAAUAGAAGAGCUGAAGAAUUUUAAACAAGUCACCACCAGUCCAGUGGAUUCCUCAAAGCAAACCUGUAAAUCUCGGCAUGAGUUGGAUUUAAGGCAGUACAUUUUCAGCUCCUGAAAAUUUGAACAGUUUCUCAAGAGAACAACUUGAAACAGAAAGGCAAGGAUGUAGAUGUGGUUGUAGAAGGUGAUGUCUAAGGCCACCAAACUGUCCACUGUGAAGAUAAACCGUGCAUGUUUAGUAGGAGGUGGCUCCCCUUCCCUGUGGGGAGUCCCACUGCUUCCCUGGCCUGGGUGUUCUCUGCUGGUAGAUGUUAUUGACAAAAUAAGCAAAGUCCUCUGAUUCUGAGAAUUAGAGUUUAUGAUUGCUCUAGAUUGCCUCUGCCAUGCUAUUUAAAGUCCUGCUUUAUUGUCUGACAUGAGCUCGGCAUCUAUGAGGACUUGUCCAGUGCACAAAGUACAAUCGCCACUGAAAGAUAUCACCAGCACAUCUUGUCACUGUGCUGUAGCGAGCUGGGCAGUACAAUGAUGUUGGCAGGAUCCUGUUUAGGUGGAGGAUGGCCACCUGGGCAUCAAGAAUCUUCUACCUUGAUUCCACAUUGAUUCCCCAAAGUGGGCUUCAGACAGCUCUUCACUUACGUCUUCUGAUUAAAGCAGCAGACGGGGUCCCAGCUAGAGAAAAGUUCUGGGAGCAGGAGAGGUGUUGGUGGCUUUAAAACCAGGGGUGAAGAUUGAAUUAGGAGGUUAGGCAGGAGUAGGAUCAAAGGCUUAGAAAAUGCUUGUUUCCUUCUAUUAUUCUUAUGAGAGCUGAUAAGGGGCUUUCAGUUUUGGGGGAGAACCUUGGAAGAGAAUGAGGGAAUUUAAUCAACUAGCGGGACCUUUCCAAUUUAUAUUUCCCAGUGUUUAUUGGAUGAUACGUUUGCCUAAUAAGUUAAAGCUUCCAAAAAUAGAAAGGAAAGCUUGGUGACACUAAGCUCUGGCAUGCUGUCAUCUUCUGGCUAGGGGUCUUGUGCUUCUGUUUUUCUAUUUCUGACCAAGGACAUAAAAUGUGUUGUGACCUCUCAGAUAAUGCUAUGGUAUCAUGCCCAAACAGUAACUAACCAGAGUGGAGUUUUUACAGGUAAAAAAGUAUUGAAUAGCUCAGCAACAGGGAGGAUUUCAUGAUAAAUUGCUUUUUCAGAAAAUGACAAGGGGACAGACACUUGCGGUUCUUCCAUUGAGAGCCUUAAGGAAGUUAAGCGAACUCUGCUCACCCCUUCAAGUAAUGAUGACCCAUCAGAUUGUGGUCAUAACCAGUAGCAUCUGAGCCACCCCUAACCUCUCUGGGCCCCAGAUUCCUUGUUAAGUUAAAUGAGGUGACUUCCCAGCUUACCAUUCUAGGGGUUCCUGAGGAGUUAAAAAUGAAGGAGAAAAUGCAACAUGUACCAAGUGAGCAAGAGCUCAAGGCUUAUCUCUGGCACGAAAGUGACCGCUAUCCAUUAGAGAGGUGCUUGCUCUAGAUUUCCUUUAGGAAAUGCAAACAUUGAAUUCUGACCUUCAGGACCCAAGCCCCAGCUUGCAUCUAUUCUAUACACUUUCUGUUAUUUGUUAGGGCUCACAAGGAACAGCUAUUUUUUUUAGAGAUGGAGUCUCACUCUGUCUUUAUUCUGCCUACCACACUCAUCUUUUCUUUCAUCUGUCUCCCAGGCUGGAGUGCAGUGGUGCCAUCUCAGCUCACUGCAAUCUCCACCUCCUGGGUUCAAGCAAUUCUCCUGUCUCAGCCUCCUGAGUAUCUAGGACUACAGGCGUGUGCCAUCAUGCCCGGCUAAUUUUUAGUAUUUUUAGUAGAGGCGGGGUUUCCACCAUAUUGGCCAGGCUGGUCUCGAACUCCUGAUCUCAAGUGAUCUACCCUCCUUGGCCUCCCAAAGUGCUGGAAUUACAGAUGUGAGCGACCACACCCGGCCCAUUUGUUUUCUUUCAAACCCUUCUGUAAGACCAGUGCUUUAGGUGAACACGUGGACAGAACAAGAUCAUCACUAUUUUGCAAUAUGAAGACCAACUGCACUGUGACCAUAAAAAAACAGAGGCAAAAUAUUGAGCUUAAUGAUACAUUUUUAUAAUUUGUAUUUGGUGUUUUUCAAUUUUCCAUUGGAUAGUUUGAGAGAUAAGUACAAGCCAAUGACAUGUUCUCUUUCCUACCCUAUUGUCUAAUCCUGCUAACACGCACACACACACUGAUUACCUAAUUCAUCUGUUCCCCGAUUAUUACACUCUCAAUUGCUGCAGAGUCUCAGAAGGAGCAUGGUGUAACAGAAAGAAUAUGAGGCUUAGAAUCCAAAGCCAGAGUGUGAAUUCCAGCUCCACUGACUUGCUGCGUGACUUGAAGCAAGUCAUUAAGUGUCUCUGUUUACUCAUUUUAUUACUUUCCUAUUGCCUCUGUAAUAUAGCACCACAAACUUGUGGACUUAAAACAACAUGCGUUUAUUCCCUUAGCAUUCUGGAGGUCAGGAGUCUGAUAUCAAUUUCACUGGGCUAAAAUCAAGAUGUUGGUAGGACCAAGAUCCCCGUGGAGGCUCUGGGAGAACCCAUUUCUUUGCCUUUGCCAGCUUCUAAUGCUGCAUUCCUUGCGUUCCUUGAUUGUUGACCUCUUCCCCCAUCUUCAAAGCCAGCAUAGCAGCACCUUGUUUCAUUGCCUUCUUUCAUGUCAAAUCUCCCUCUGCCUCCUUCUUAUAAGAACACUUGUGGUUGCAUUUAGAGGCUAUGAUGAUAAUCCAGAAUAAUAUCUUUAUCUCAAGAUCUUUGGCUUAGUCUCUUCUGCAAAGUCUCUUUUGCCACAGAGGGAAACAUUCACAGGUCCCAGGGGUCAGGCUGUGUACAUCUUUGGGGGACUUUAUUCUGCCUACCACACUCAUCUUUUCUUUUUUUUUUUUAGAUGGAGUCCUGCUCUGUCACCCAGGCUGGAAUGCAGUGGCAUGAUCUCGGCUCACUGCAACUUCUGCCUCCCUGGUUCAAGCAAUUCUCCUGCUUCAACCUCCCAAGUAGCUGGAAUUACAGGCGCCUGCCACCACGCCCGGCUAAUUUUUGUACUUUUGGUAGAGAUGGGGUUUCACUAUGUUGGCCUGGCUGGUCUUGAACUCCUGACCUCAGGUGAUUCCCCCACCUUGGCCUCCCAAAGUGCUGAGAUUACAGACGUGAGCCACCAUGCCCGGCCCCACACUCAUCUAUUAAGUAGAGCUAGGAAUUCCUAUCCUAAGGGACACGAAAAUGAAAAAAGAUAAAAUUUGUGAAGAGGCACAUAAUGAAAGCCCAUACAUGUCGCUGAGUUCGGAGGAGGGUGGGUCUGACCUCCCAUUGGCUGGUCUCUGCCUGAUGGACAUCGUAAAGAAGAGAGCCAGGACUAGCGUGGCUGGGGGAUGUUCAGGGGCCAGAGUGGCUUCAGGUGCCAGCAGCCCUGGCCGAAGGAUGACUCCAGGAGCAAGGCUCAGAGCCAAGUGGAAGAAGCUUCAAUAAACGGCACCUGAGCCAAGCAUGAUGGGGUGUGCCUGUGGUUCCAGCUACUCGGGAGGCAGGUGGGAGGAUGGCUUGAGUCAGAAGUUCGAGGCUGCAGUGAGCUAUGAUCACACUACUGUACUCCAGCCUGGGUGACAGAAUGACACGCUGUCUCUAAAAAGAAAAGGCAGCUGGAUGCUCAUGACCGAGAUAGGGUGGGGUGGGUCGGGUGGGACAGCCUCACUUUAUAACUUUGCUUUCAGUAUGAUGUGGAUUAGUGUCUCCCACGUGGGAAAAUUAUGUUUACCACUUAGCUGAUAGUGCUUGGUUACCCCAUAACGCUGGACGGUGGCAGGCUUAACUCCCCCAUCAAGGGCCUUAAUGUAUUUGGGGCCCUAGUCCUAGCAACAGCAGCAAAUCUCCUUUUUCUUUUCCUCAAGCUGGUUGUUCACCAGGCAGUUGGGAUGUUACAUGGGAAGAGAAGACACACACAAGUCCCUUGUUUUCAAUAAGGCAGUCUGGUCACGUACUUAGCAGGUUAUUAAUCUUUUUCAAACCCCUCCUCUCCACCAAGUUUUAUGAUCCUGGGAAUGAGAUUCCUCCCCAGCAUCCUUAGAGUUAUCGGGGGUUAGGAUCAGUGCGUGUAGCCACUUCCCUGGAAUCAUCAGUAGCCCUCCAGCCUCUGGGGGAGAGCUGCCAGUGGUCAGAGAUGUUGGGAAUUACAAGGGAGAAGCUAGGGAGAAGGAACUCACAGUCCCUCAGUCUCUGAAGGUGGCUCCUGGCAGGAGAAGCCAGGAGAGGGGGCCAGUCCUAGAUAAGAGCUCUCCCAGGGAAUUCCAAGCAUCCUCCAAGGUCCAGUCACAACAUGAGGAAUUACUGUUGGGCUCUUGCUCAGAUGUGCCUGUAAAUUCAUAUCACAGAUGCUGGAUGCAUUUGACAAUUGUUUAAUUGCUUGAGCCCAACUGAUACUCUUUCAGUCACUUUAAGGGAGUGAUUUCAAGUAUGAUCAUUGCCUCAAAUCUGUAUGGCUUUCCUUGCCUUUCAGGUGCUUUAAGAGGACUUAUGUUCUUUGACUCCCCUAGUAACUCAAGAGGGUGGCUAAGAUGCAAUUCUGGAGGUUUCCAAGCUCUCUGCAAAGCCUGCCUUCAGUAGUCUGUGCACCAUAAGAAGCAUAACUUUAUUAUUCUCUAGCUGAAUUUACCUCCUGCUUCAAGCCCCUGUUUUCCCAUGUCAUUUUAGGGGUCCCAUGUUUUCCCUGGAGGCAUAUAUAUAUAUAUAUAUAUAUACAUAUAUAUACACACAUAUAUAUGUAUGUAUAUAUAUAUAUAUAUAUAUACACAAAUUCCAGGGGCCUCUGAGGUGCCAAGACAUGUGUGGGGUCCAUCUGGUUCACACUGAUGUCCAUGAUCAUUGAGUUCCUUUUUUAUAUCAACUAUGUGACACUUCUUAUAGUUUCCAGUUCCUGGUUAGAAUUUGCAAACUUGUUGACUAUUUCUUUGAAUAGAGUAGUUAGAUCAUGGGUCUACACGGGUCAUCAAGGAGCGAUUUCCCUGUUGGAAGCUCCAAGCAAAUUGUCAGCUCUAGCAUUCCACACAUCUCUGGGCGCCACACUCCUUUUUCCUUUUAAAAGAUCAUGAUCUGCUAGUGGUGAAUGCUCUUGGGGUUUUAUUUGCAGGUUUUUCUUCUUGUCACAAAUGUCUAUAUUUCAUCUUCACUCUUGAGGGAUAUUUUCCAUGGGUAGAGGAUCUAGGCUUUUCUUUUGGAUUCCAUUGUGGCUUUAAAAAAAAGUCAGUUGACUGUUUAUUUAUGGCUUCUUUAAAGGUGAUCUCUUUCUUCCUAAGGCUGUUUUAAAAGUUUUCCUUCCCUCCCUCCCUUCCUCCCACCCCAUCCCCCUUCUUCCUUUCCUUCCUCCCUCCCUUCCUCCCUUCUCUUCCUCCCUUUCUCCCAACCUCCCUUCCUCCCUCUUUCCUUCUUUUUUCCUUCCUCCCACCCUCCUUCCUUCUUCCAUCAUUAUAUAUUAAAAUAUUUUCUUUCUUUCUUUUUUUUUUUUUUGAGAUGAGUUUCGCUCUUGUUGCCCAGGCUGGAGUGCAAUGGUGUGAUCUUGGCUUACUGCAACCUCCACCUCCCUGGUUCAAGCGAUUCACCUGCCUCAGCCUCCCUAGUAGCUGGGAUUACAGGUGCCUGCCACCACACCCAGCUAAUUUUUGUAAUUUUAGUAGAGAUGGGGUUUCACCAUGUUGGCCAGGCUGGUCUUGAACUCCUGAACUCAGGUAACCCACCUGCCUUGGCCUCCCAAAGUGCUGGGAUUACAGGCGUGAGCCACCACUCCCAGCCUAUUAAAAUAUUUUCUUCUGGGCCUUCCCUCCUUUUACUUCUUUUGAUACCGCCAUCAAAUGCAUGUUAGGUUGACUCACUGUGUACUCUAUUACCCUCUCUUCUGGUUUUUAAUCUUUCUGUCUCCUUAUACUGUAAUCUCAGUGUUUCUUCUGCUUUAAUUUUGGUAUAUGAAAUAUUCAGCUGUGUUCAAAGUGUGGUUAAAGCUACUUAUAUGCUCUUUAAUUUUUAGUUAUUGUACUUUUCACCUCUAGAAGUUCUUCUGAGUUCCUUUUUUAUAUCAACUAUGUGACACUUCUUAUAGUUUCCAGUUCCUGGUUAGAAUUUGCAAACGUGUUGACUAUUUCUUUGAAUAGAGUAGCUAGAAUUGUUUUAGUCCGUGUAUAGUGAGUUGAAUAUCUGAAACCUCUGUGAGUCUGUUUCUUUUGUCUGCUAGCCCUACUCAUGGCGUCAUGUUUUCCUGGAUGUUUGGUUGGUUGUCUUUGAAUAUGUCCAACUCCAGUUAUUUCUGGGAAUACCCAAAGGCACACCUGUUCACUAUCACCUGGUGAAUUGCCAUGUGUUUGUCUCCUGUCAUGGUAACAUUUGCAUUCAGGGAGAGGCCUCUGCUAUCUGCAGAACUGUGUGAAAUCACCUCAUUUUUGCCUUCAAUGAAGGUUGUCUCUUGCUGGUCACCGCCACUUCCUCAAAUGACUAAUGCCACUCUUGCUCACAGUGCUAAGGCACUAAGGAGUUUUCAGAGGGCUAGAGUGAUUCUGCGUCCUCUGAGGUUCUCAGGAAACGAGGCCACAGGGCCAUCUGUGCGUGAGUGACAGUGGGGUGGGGUGGAUGGGCAGUGGCAGUGGUGGGCACCUAUGCUGCUGGUGCCACAGCUUUUUAUAUCUUGGUGAAAGCAACGCCUUGCGUUUUCACUUGUAGAUUCUCCGGCUACAUUCCACAAGAACAAAUUCUGGUCACAGAGGCCGGAGUAGACUAUCAGUGUAAUGGCCCUUCCCCUUUGAUGAUAGUAGCUUUUUUCGGGGGAGCAGGGGUGGCCAAACUUCUUAGCCUUAUUUUCUCUUCCUUUCUAGUUCUCCCCAGAGGCUGCUGGGUUCACCUCUCCCUCUGCCAGACAGACAGGCUCAGACAUGCGAGAACGGAAGGGGGUGUGGGGGUGGGUGGGAGGAUUAAGCUGGGGAGAGCCAGUCUUGUCUUUGUAGAUUACCAGAACUGACACAUGUACACACAUGUACACUCACUCACUCACUCACUCACUCACUCAUCUAUUCAUCUAUUUUUGGCCUAAGUGCCUUUGGACCCUUCUUCGGAAAAGCACAUGAACUCUUUGGAGUCUCCCGUUCCACUUGGUAAAUUUCCUAUAGCCACACACUGAAAGUCCCUGCUGCCCUCCUUCCUCUGAGCUUGUGGGGCCCACAGAUCCCCUGCUCCACUUCCUGCUUUAUUUCAGCUGAUGGUGAGUCCGGGGCAGGCUUGUAGAAGGGUGGGCUGGGCGCGGGGAACUGCAGCACCCACCCCACCCCCUGCCCCAGUGCUUGUUGCCCCAGCCUCUGUCUCCCUCGCUGUGCCCUUCCCUUAAGCCCCACUCUUAGCCUCCCCAAAGACAGAGUUUGUUCUGUUUUUAUUGAUAGGAUGACACUCCCUCGUUCUAAUACCAUCUGAAUGCCUGAGCAAUUACAUCUUACAAUCUCAUGAAAAACACAGCAGCUUGUCACGAUGAAUGAUGUUACCGUGAAUAAUGCAGUUUUGAGUUCAAACUCCUUCUUAUUCCAAGAAUGAGUAAAUAUCCCUAUUCCCUCCCCUCCCCAUUGCAUUUGGGUUUGACAUGACAUGAAUCAUUGUGGUUUUACUCCUGGGUAGAAUUGUUUUUCUGUUUUGCAUUGCCAACCAAUGGAAGGACAAAAAAAGGAAACUUACCAACGAGCAGUUUCAGAUGAACUUAAAUUCUCAGAAAUCUUGAAGAAUGAAUGAACUACAACUUUUUGGAGUUGCAAAAAUGUUCAAGUCGGAAGUGACCCAUGGGAAGCAACCUGGUCCUUAACUAGGACUGGAAAGAAAACGGAGGCCCAGCGAGGGAACAGUGGCUUCCCCAAGGUCACACUGCAAGUGAGUGGUGGCACUAGUCACCCAGGAGUCCUCUUGACUCCACGGUAUCCUGACCCCAGACCGGCAGCCUUAUUUGUGGUUAAAGAACGUGGAAAAACAGCUUAUGUUUGAAUUUUAAAAUCAUGCCAGUCCUGAAGAUCUGCAUUCCAUGAAUAUUGAGCUUUGCUGUGUGCAGGUUGCUAUGAAUUUUGUAACUAUUUUCUCUAAGAGCUCUCAGUAUUUUACAUAUACAAUUCCAUUCUUUACUGUCCAGGGAAAAAGUUGCAUUUACUGAGCAGUAAGAGGGUGAUUUGAAGUCCCUGGGGACCCCUGCCCUUGUCUUUCUAUGUGAGAUUGUAUUGCAGGGCUCACAUUUAUUCUCUCAGCAGCUCAUUGCACAGACAGUGUAUUUAUUGAGCACCUACUGUGUGCCAGGAGCUAUGUGGUAAGCUAAGCAGGCAAAAACUCCUGCUCUCACAAGAAGAAAGAAUAAACAAACAGACAAUUGCA